rnacentral:rRNA from 1 species
UUGGGAAUCUUGCACAAUGGGGGAAACCCUGAUGCAGCGACGCCGCGUGGAGGACGAAAGAUCUAGGUCUGUAAACUCCUUUUGCACGGAAAGACUUAGGACGGUACCGUGCGAAUAAGCUCCGGCUAACUACGUGCCAGCAGCCGCGGUAAGACGUAGGGAGCAAGCGUUGUCCGGAUUUACUGGGCGUAAAGAGCGCGUAGGCGGUCUGUUAAGUGAGAAGUGAAAUCUCCAGGGCUCAACCCGGAAACUGCUUUUCAUACUGGCAGACUUGAGUGAUGCAGAGGUAUGUGGAAUUCCCGGUGUAGCGGUGAAAUGCAUUGAUAUCGGGAGGAACACCCAUGGCGAAGGCAGCAUACUGGGCAUCAACUGACGCUGAGGCGCGAAAGCGUGGGUAGCA